CGCGGGGGCAACCCUGGCGGCGAGCGGCGCACGGGUGAGUAAUGCAUCGGAACGUGUCCUUUUGUGGGGGAUAACCAGUCGAAAGACUGGCUAAUACCGCAUGAGAUCGAGAGAUGAAAGCAGGGGACCCGCAAGGGCCUUGCGCGAUUGGAGCGGCCGAUGUCCGAUUAGCUAGUUGGUGGGGUAAAGGCCUACCAAGGCGACGAUCGGUAGCUGGUCUGAGAGGAUGAUCAGCCACACUGGGACUGAGACACGGCCCAGACUCCUACGGGAGGCAGCAGUGGGGAAUUUUGGACAAUGGGGGCAACCCUGAUCCAGCCAUGCCGCGUGAGUGAAGAAGGCCUUCGGG
rnacentral:rRNA from 1 species